GACGAACGCUGGCGGCGUGCCUAAUACAUGCAAGUCGAACGCAGUGGGGACGGGUGAGUAACACGUGGGUAACCUCCCAUCAGAGGGGAUAAACGUUGGAAACAGGUGCUAAACCGAUACUGAUGGAUCGAGUCGCGGUGCAUUAGCUAGUGGGUGAGGUAACGGCUCACCAAGGCCACGAUGCAUAGCCGACCUGAGAGGGUGAUCGGCCACACUGGGACUGAGACACGGCCCAGACUCCUACGGGAGGCAGCAGUAGGGAAUAUUGGGCAAUGGACGAAAGUCUGACAGAGCAACGCCGCGUGAGUGAAGAAGGUUUUAGGAUCGUAAAACUCUGUUGGUAGAGAAGCGGUAUCUAAACAGAAAGCCACGGCUAACUACGUGCCAGCAGCCGCGGUAAUAC
rnacentral:rRNA from 1 species